rnacentral:rRNA from 1 species
UACGUAGGGUGCGAGCGUUAAUCGGAAUUACUGGGCGUAAAGCGUGCGCAGGCGGUUUUGUAAGUCUGUCGUGAAAUCCCCGGGCUCAACCUGGGAAUUGCGAUGGAGACUGCAAGGCUAGAAUCUGGCAGAGGGGGGUAGAAUUCCACGUGUAGCAGUGAAAUGCGUAGAUAUGCGGAGGAACACCGAUGGCGAAGGCAAUCCCCUGGACCUGUACUGACGCUCAUGCACGAAAGCGUGGGGAGCAAACAGG